GGGGAUAACAGUUAGAAAUGACUGCUAACACCGCAUAAGCGCACAGGGCCGCAUGGCCCGGUGUGAAAAACGCCGGUGGUAUGGGAUGGGCCCGCGUCUGAUUAGCCAGUUGGCGGGGUAACGGCCCACCAAAGCGACGAUCAGUAGCCGACCUGAGAGGGUGACCGGCCACAUUGGGACUGAGACACGGCCCAAACUCCUACGGGAGGCAGCAGUGGGGAAUAUUGCACAAUGGGGGGAACCCUGAUGCAGCGACGCCGCGUGAGCGAAGAAGUAUCUCGGUAUGUAAAGCUCUAUCAGCAGGGAAGAAAAAUGACGGUACCUGACUAAGAAGCCCCGGCUAACUACGUGCCAGCAGCCGCGGUAAUACGUAGGGGGCAAGCGUUAUCCGGAUUUACUGGGUGUAAAGGGAGCGCAGGCGGCGCGGCAAGUCUGAUGUGAAAGCCCGGGGCUCAACCCCGGGACUGCAUUGGAAACUGUCGCGCUCGAGUGUCGGAGAGGUAAGUGGAAUUCCUAGUGUAGCGGUGAAAUGCGUAGAUAUUAGGAGGAACACCAGUGGCGAAGGCGGCUUACUGGACGACAACUGACGCUGAGGCUCGAAAGCGUGGGGAGCAAACAGGAUUAGAUACCCUGGUAGUCCACGCCGUAAACGAUGAA
rnacentral:rRNA from 1 species